UACGUAGGGUCCGAGCGUUGUCCGGAAUUACUGGGCGUAAAGAGCUCGUAGGUGGUUUGUCGCGUUGUUCGUGAAAACUCACAGCUUAACUGUGGGCGUGCGGGCGAUACGGGCAGACUGGAGUACUGCAGGGGAGACUGGAAUCCCUGGUGUAGCGGUGGAAUGCGCAGAUAUCAGGAGGAACACCGGUGGCGAAGGCGGGUCUCUGGGCAGUAACUGACGCUGAGGAGCGAAAGCGUGGGGAGCGAACAGG
rnacentral:rRNA from 1 species